rnacentral:rRNA from 1 species
GAUACCCUGGUAGUCCACGCUGUAAGCGAUGUCGAUUUGGAGUUUGUUGCCUAGAGUGAUGGGCUCCGAAGCUAACGCGAUAAAUCGACCGCCUGGGGAGUACGGCCGCAAGGUUAAAACUCAAAUGAAUUGACGGGGGCCCGCACAAGCGGUGGAGCAUGUGGUUUAAUUCGAUGCAACGCGAAGAACCUUACCUGGUCUUGACAUCCAUAGAAUUCUGCAGAGAUGUGGGAGUGCCUUCGGGAACUAUGAGACAGGUGCUGCAUGGCUGUCGUCAGCUCGUGUUGUGAAAUGUUGGGUUAAGUCCCGCAACGAGCGCAACCCUUAUUCUUUGUUGCCAGCGAUUUGGUCGGGAACUCAAAGGAGACUGCCGUUGAUAAAGCGGAGGAAGGCGGGGACGGCGUCAAGUCAUCAUGGCCCUUACGACCUGGGCUACACACGUGCUACAAUGGCGUAUACAAAGGGAAGCGAAGGUGCGAGCUGGAGCGGAUCUCAUAAAGUACGUCUAAGUUCGGAUUGGAGUCUGCAACUCGACUCCAUGAAGUCGGAAUCGCUAGUAAUCGUAGAUCAGAAUGCUACGGUGAAUACGUUCCCGGGCCUUGUACACACCGCCCGUCACACCAUGGGAGUGGGUUGCACCAGAAGUAGAUAGCUUAACCGCGAGGGGGGCGUUUACCACGGUGUGAUUCAUGACUGGGGUGAAGUCGUAACAAGGUAACCA